UAUCAAUAAGCGGAGGAAAAGAAACCAACAGGGAUUGCCCUAGUAACGGCGAGUGAAGCGGCAACAGCUCAAAUUUGAAAUCUGGCUCUUUCAGAGUCCGAGUUGUAAUUUGCAGAGGGCGCUUUGGCUUUGGCAGCGGUCCAAGUUCCUUGGAACAGGACGUCACAGAGGGUGAGAAUCCCGUACGUGGUCGCUAGCUAUUGCCGUGUAAAGCCCCUUCGACGAGUCGAGUUGUUUGGGAAUGCAGCUCUAAAUGGGAGGUAAAUUUCUUCUAAAGCUAAAUAUUGGCCAGAGACCGAUAGCGCACAAGUAGAGUGAUCGAAAGAUGAAAAGCACUUUGGAAAGAGAGUCAAACAGCACGUGAAAUUGUUGAAAGGGAAGCGCUUGCAGCCAGACUUGCUUGCAGUUGCUCAUCCGGGCUUUUGCCCGGUGCACUCUUCUGCAGGCAGGCCAGCAUCAGUUUGGGCGGUGGGAUAAAGGUCUCUGACACGUUCCUUCCUUCGGGUUGGCCAUAUAGGGGAGACGUCAUACCACCAGCCUGGACUGAGGUCCGCGCAUCUGCUAGGAUGCUGGCGUAAUGGCUGUAAGCGGCCCGUCUUGAAACACGGAC
rnacentral:rRNA from 1 species